GAACGAUGGAGAACGUAUUAUUAAAAUAUUUUUUGAUGAUAUUAAAAAUUGUCAGCACAUUAUUUCACACACUUUUUGUACGAUUCAUGAACACUUGGCGCGGGGAAGAGAACGCACAGGCCGGCCGAAGAGAAAUUUUUGUAAAAAUAUUGUUGCUUUUUGCUGGAACGAAGAGAGGAGACGCACGCACGCGACGAACGAACGGGGGAGAAGGAACGGAACGGAACGAAGGAAGAAUAGCGACGUACGACAGAAAACAAAACGCAGAACAACAAAAUUGUGCUUUUUUCAGGCAACAACGCGAAUUCGGCGCGCU